AGCAAGGACCUCGGCCUCGCGCUAUAGUAGAGCCAAGUCCGAUAGCUAGUGUGAGUAUGCCUCAACCAAGGCGACGAUCCGUACUGGUCUGAGAGGAUGAUCAGUCACACUGGAACUGAGACACGGUCCAGACUCUACGGGAGGCAGCAGUGGGGAAUAUUGGACAAUGGGCGAAAGCCUGAUCCAGCCAUGCCGCGUGUGUGAAGAAGGUCUUCGGAUUGUAAAGCACUUUAAGUUGGGAGGAAGGCAGUAAGUUAAUACCUUGCUGUUUGACGUAC
rnacentral:rRNA from 1 species